rnacentral:lncRNA from 1 species
GUUGGGAGAUAUUUAUGGGACUAGUCUAACUACCCGGGAGAACGUGCGUAUAGUGCGUGCGUAUAGGAGAGGUUUGUGGGAUGUGGGUAGUUAGGGGAUCGUGGGAUGAUGGAAUCGUGGGUGAUCGUGAUGGGAUUGUGGGAUGAUGGAAUCAUGGGUGAUCGUGAUGGGAUUGUGGGAUGAUGAGUGGUUACGAUGAGAUUGUGGGAAUAUUGCAAAUUAACCCUUUCUCUUUACUCAUAUUACACUUUAGUCAAAAUAAUAAAAUAUUAUAUGAUUAAAGUGGAGCAUUUUGUAAAUAUAUGAAAGGGAAUAGACUAAUAUGCUAUUUUUGUACCCGUUCGCACCUACGGGAACGUCCCACUUUCCGCGUUCAAAAUUUGAACUUAAAUUUUUAUCCAUGCACCUAGUGCAUGGAUCAUCUCAUAAACCAUCUAUCUUUUUUUUAUUU